rnacentral:rRNA from 1 species
UACAGAGGUGGCAAGCGUUGUUCGGAAUUACUGGGCGUAAAGGGCGCGUAGGCGGCCUUCUAAGUCAGACGUGAAAUCCCCCGGCUUAACCUGGGAACUGCGUCGGAUACUGGAUGGCUUGAAUUCGGGAGAGGGAUGCAGAAUUCCAGGUGUAGCGGUGAAAUGCGUAGAUAUCUGGAGGAAUACCGGUGGCGAAGGCGGCAUCCUGGACCGACAUUGACGCUGAGGAGCGAAAGCUAGGGGAGCAAACGGG